GUGGUGAUGGUGCAGUGGAUAUCACACAUACCUUUGGUGUGGGAGAUGUGGGUUCAAUUCCCACUGCGCUACA
rnacentral:tRNA from 1 species